AUGUUGUAUUAAUAGAAAUCAUCUAGAAUGAAUAUUCUUGUAAAAAGGAUACAGUGGUUAAAGGGUGUGGUUAUAAAGAACUUGCCUAAGACCACACAAAUAAUGGCAAAACUAAACCAGAACUCAGACCUCCUGACCACAAUACUUCCUCCAGUGUUCCAAAUUACCUUCCUACAUUGGCUGGGAGGCUUUUGGAAGUGACAAAAAACCUGAACCAAAGUGGAUUAUGAAAGAAAAAACUUGGAGAGUAUGAGUUCAUGUAAUUGAAUUGUGUACACACCGCUCUAAUUUUAGGCUUUAUAAAAGGGAGACUUAAUUCAUCAGUUUGUGUUGCCAUCUGGACACUGAGUCCAUUCUGAUUCUUGUAGCUCUGUCUUCCUGCAGAUGCUGGACUAGUUUUCAUACUAGAUCCCCUCGUGGCAGCAUUAAGGAACUUCACAUUCUUCUCACACUAUUCAUGGAAAGUUCCUGGAACUCCCACAGCAGCAAGAAAACUUCGCUUGUAGGAGUCCUUAGCACAUCUGUAAAGUUUUAUUGGCCAAAAUGUGAUACAUCUCCAUUUCUGGAUCAGUCACUGUGGUCAAGUGCAAGACGCUCUACAGGACUCAACCUGGGGAUGAGGUCUGUCUACUCCAUCCAUAUGGUCACUUUAUACUGAGGUUGGGGUUGCUGCUUUUUAAGAGAUGAAAAGAUCCAAGGUGUGACACAGAAUGGAUGACUGGAGUGGAAAAAAUGAAAAUGUCAUUGGAAUAUGGAAGUAAAGAAACUGAGAAGCUGAGAGUUUUUGCAUCAUCCAGUCAGGUAUGGAAAUCACCAAGGAUAAAGGAAGGAACUGGGUUAGAAUGGAAGACCUUUUGCCAGGAAUGGAAGACUUCAGUAAAUGAAGAGAUUUGACUAGGAUGUUGGCAGAAGAUAGUGAGAAGGUCUAAGAAAGGGUGGUAUAUCCAGAUGACAUAAACAUCAAAAGAACGGUGAUUUUUGCAGGAGGGAAGGGGUGAAAUAAUUUGAAAGUAGCAAUGGGAGAGAGCAAGGAAUGCACCUACCUCCAAUCCUGGCCCUGACAUUCUCUCAGGGACCAGAUAGGUUUCAACUAAGGUAAGGCAAGGAGAUGAUGGGAAAAUGAGGGAAAGGGGAC
rnacentral:lncRNA from 1 species